UGGGGAAUUUUGGACAAUGGGCGCAAGCCUGAUCCAGCCAUGCCGCGUGCAGGAUGAAGGCCUUCGGGUCGUAAACUGCUUUUGUACGGAACGAAAAGGUGCCUUCUAAUAAAGGGCGCUCAUGACGGUACCGUAAGAAUAAGCACCGGCUAACUACGUGCCAGCAGCCGCGGUAAUACGUAGGGUGCGAGCGUUAAUCGGAAUUACUGGGCGUAAAGCGUGCGCAGGCGGUUUUGUAAGACAGAGGUGAAAUCCCCGGGCUCAACCUGGGAACUGCCUUUGUGACUGCAAGGCUGGAGUGCGGCAGAGGGGGAUGGAAUUCCGCGUGUAGCAGUGAAAUGCGUAGAUAUGCGGAGGAACACCGAUGGCGAAGGCAAUCCCCUGGGCCUGCACUGACGCUCAUGCACGAAAGCGUGGGGAGCAAACA
rnacentral:rRNA from 1 species